rnacentral:rRNA from 1 species
GAUGAACGCUGGCGGCGUGCUUAACACAUGCAAGUCGAACGGAAAGGCCCAAGCUUGCUUGGGUACUCGAGUGGCGAACGGGUGAGUAACACGUGGGUGAUCUGCCCUGCACUUCGGGAUAAGCCUGGGAAACUGGGUCUAAUACCGGAUAGGACCACAUGCUGGAUGGUGUGGUGGCAAGUUUUUCGGUGUGGGAUGAGCUCGCGGCCUAUCAGCGUGUGGGUGGGGUAAUGGCCUACCAAGGCGUCGACGGGUAGCCGGCCUGAGAGGGUGUACGGCCUCAUUGGGAAUGAGAUAUGGCACAGGCUCCUACGGGGGGCGGGAGGGGGCAAUAUUGAACAAUGGGCGCAAGCCUGAUGCAGCGACGACGAGUGCGGGGUGACUGACUUCGGGUUGUAAGCUCCUUUCGCUAGGGACGAGGCGUUUUUGUGACGGUACCUGGAGAAGAAGCACCGGCUAACUACGUG